rnacentral:lncRNA from 1 species
GGGUCUACUCUGGACAGUUGAUAAGGAUCAGUAGUGGGUCUACUCUGGACAGUCGAUAAGGAUCAGUAGUGGGUCUACUCUGGACAGUUGAUAAGGAUCAGUAGUGGGUCUACUCUGGACAUUGAUAAGGAUAAGUAGUGGGUCUACUCUGGACAGUUUAUAAGGAUCAGUAGUGGGUCUACUCUCUACAGUUGAUAAGGAUCAGUAGUGGGUCUACUCUGGACAGUUUAUUAGGAUCAGUAGUGGGUCUACUCUGGACAGUUGAUAAGGAUCAGUAGUGUGUCUAGUCUGGACAGUUGAUAAGGAUCAGUAGGGGGUCUACUCUGGACAGUUGAUAAGGAUCAGUAGUGUGUCUACUCUGGACAGUUGAUAAGGAUCAGUAGUGGGUCUAUUCUGGACAGUUGAUAAGGAUCAGUAGUGGGUCUAUUCUGGACAGUUGAUAAGGAUCAGUAGGGGGUCUACUCUGGACAGUUGAUAAGGAUCAGUAGUGUGUCUACUCUGGACAGUUGAUAAGGAUCAGUAGUGGGUCUAUUCUGGACAGUUGAUAAGGAUCAGUAGUGGGUCUAUUCUGGACAGUUGAUAAGGAUCAGUAGUGGGUCUACUCUCCACAGUUGAUAAGGAUCAGUAGUGGGUCUACUCUCCACAGUUGAUAAUGAUCAGUAGUGGGUCUACUCUGGACAUUUGAUAAGGAUCAGUAGUGGGUCUACUCUCUACAGUUGAUAAGGAUCAGUAGUGGGUCUACUCUGGACAGUUGAUGAGGAUCAGUAGUGGGUCUACUCUGGACAGUUUAUAAGGAUCAGUAGUGGGUCUACUCUGGACAGUUGAUAAGGAUCAGUAGUGGGUCUACUCUGGACAGUUGAUAAGGAUCAGUUGUGGGUCUACUCUGGACAGUUGAUAAGGAUCAGUAGGGGGUCUACUCUCCACAGUUGAUAAGGAUCAGUAGUGGGUCUACUCUGGACAGUUGAUAAGGAUCAGUAGUGGGUCUACUCUGGACAGUUGAUAAGGAUCAGUAGUGGGUCUACUCUGGACAGUUGAUAAGGAUCAGUAGUGGGUCUAGUCUGGACAGUUGAUAAGGAUC